rnacentral:tRNA from 1 species
GAGAAUGUGGCCCAAUCGGCAGAGGCAGCGAGCUUAAAAUUCGUGUGUUGCGGGUUCGAUUCCCGCCAUUCUCA